GAAAUCCUUUAUAUGAGGGGAAGAGAGAAGGGACAGGAAGGCAAGAAAAAGUGUUAGGCAAAUGGAACCCAAUGACAGCAAGCAUGUUGGCCAGCGCUAUAACUGAAAUGAAAUUUGGUGUCUUAUUUGGCUGGGCUGUAGAGCACUCGGGUAUUUGGUCAAGCAUUCUGAGAGUGUGAGUGGUGGUAUUUCUGUAUAAUCAGCACAUUGCCCUCCCAGGGUUGGAAAACCUCUGUGAAAGAGUUGGAUGCCUGAGUAGAGAAGGAAGUGAAGACUGCCAGCCUGCCUGCCAGCUAACUAGCUGGAAUCUCCAUGCUUCCCAGCCAAACCGAACUCCAGUCAGGGUUGAUGGUACACCUGUAAUCCCAGUGCACGGGAAGUGGAGGCAAGAGGUCCCAGAGUUCAAAGCCUUGGCUAAACAUUCAUGGGGCUAGUUACGGGCCAGUCUGGACUACAUGAGACUCAAAACAAUGAAAGGAGCCGGAGACACGGCUCAGUGACUGAAGGCACUUGCCACUCUUAUAUAGGACCCAGAUUCAGACCUUGGCUCCCACAUAGCAGCUCAUAGCCAUCAGAACUCUAGUUGGAGAGUUCUGAUUUUACCUUCUGGCCUCUGAGGGCACCAGGGAUGCACAUGGUACACGUGCAUAACAUGCAAGCACAACUCAUAAAAAUGCAUCUCAAGUGAAGCCAUUCACUACAGCUGGUUCUCUAAAAGCCAAACUACAAAAUAACAAAAACCACCCAAACAGUACCCUCAUCCAGUGGCUCACAACCACCUGUAAGUCCAGGUCCAAGGCUUCUGAUACCUUCUGGCCUCCAACAACCUACACACAGAUGGCUAAUUCACACAAACACACAAAAUUAAGGCAGGAAUGAUGGUUCACUCCUUUAAUCUCAGCUCUAGGGAGGUAGAGAUGCAGGCUGAUUUCUGAGUUUGAGGCCAGCCUGCUUUACAUUGUGAGUUCCAAGCUAACUAGAGCUGCACAGUGAGACCCUAUCUUAAAAAAACAAAAUCUAGGCAGUGGUGGCGCACACCUUUAAACAGCACUUUGGAGGCAGAGGCAGGCAAAUUUCUGAGUUUGAGGCCAGCCUGGCCUACAGAGUGAGUUCCAGGACAUCCAGGGCUAUACAGAGAAACCCUGUCUCGUCUCGGAAAACUAAUAAAAAAAAAAAAAAAAGGAUGAAUCAGGAUGAUAUUGUCAGUUGUGUUCAGAAUAUGACGGCAAAGUACAGAGCAACAUGGCCACAUGUAAACCAGUUUUUGCAGUGUGAACAUCUCUAAUCCAGAAAUCUAGAUUCGAUGACAUCACAAAAUCUCUGAUUUGGGAUUUAGGAUGUUAAGGAAUGCUCAGCUGUCUCCAAAGCCCGAAGUAUGAAAACUCUGAUAGGAAACGUGGUCUAAGGCAUUUGAGAAAUAGGAUACUUAGCCAGUGCAGCUAAGAUAGUUUAAACAAUGUGGUUCAAAAAUAGAAAACAAGUACGUUGGGGAAUUUGAAAUAAUAUUCUGUUCUCAAAUAUUUUACUUUGUCAUGUUAUGACUUGGGACAUUGUGUCCUGAACACAUGGAAAAGCUAAAACUGACGGAGAUAAUACAUUUUCUCAAAAGUGAUAAAGGUUAAAAUGCAUUUGCAAUCAUUUGUUGGGGUUAAAAACACAUCUUGCUAAUAAACUUGGAAAACUUUGUUCACGCCUUUAGACCUUAUUAGGUGAUAAAAUAACAAGAAACCUGGAUGGAGGGAAAAUUGCCUCCAAAAGAAAAGUAAUGGCAAGAGGUUCAACCUGUAACUUUAUAGCCCCAAGGUGGGGGGAAAAACAAGUACCUACUAUAAAUCUUGUAGUGAAGUAAGUCAUUCGAGAGAAACAGUUUUAAUAUGCUUUAUGAGAAUAGUAGAAUAUCAGUCCACAGAAUGCUUUCAUAUGCCAAAGUCUGAAUAUUACAUAUUUUACAGGGACCAUUUCUUUCAACUGCCCUAAUAACCAUAAGACAGGUGCUGUUAGUAUCAAAAUUUACAAAUGAGGAGAGGAGACAGAGGAAUAGCAAAAACAUGUCUGAAGUACAUGUUAUUGAGCCUAUGCACAAACUCAAUCUCUGUCACCAUGGGCACUUUGUUCAUGUGCCCAUUGGGCAAUGACAGGGAUAUGGAAAUUGUAUGUGUGUGUUGGGGGGGGGGGCAUUGGCUUUUAGGCUGUGGUCCAGCUAGUUAAAACAAUGGUUGUCAACCCAAGGAAGCUCUGGUAAUCCAAUAAUUGUUUAGUUCAUGAGACUAGAUGUCUCACUUCAGUAUAUGCCAACUAGGCUCUAAUGCAAUUGGAGGAAUGGACUUGCCAGUGGGAGAGCCAGGGCAAGCGGGCAGAAGAGAGGAAGCUUCCUUCCCCCAUGUCUUUUAUAUAGGCUGCCAGCAGAAGGCAUGGCCCAGAUUAAAGGGGGAUCUUCUCACCUCAGAAGAUCUGGAUUAAAAGAGGCUCUUCACACUUCGAUUGAAGUAAGAAAAAAAAAUUCCUUGCAGGUGCACCCAGCCGCAGGUGUACCCAGCCACUUGGGUUUUAGUUCAUUCCAGAUAUUGAGUCUACAACCAGAGCAGCCAUCACACAUGCUCUCUUUCUCAACUGUAUGUCUUGUUUAAUUUCCAAAUGGAAACAAUAACCAUAUAAUAAUGCCUAAACAUAACUACCCCACAAUCAGAAAGGCAUUAUAUAUUAACCAGGUCACAAUCAGAAAGGCAUUAUAUAUUAACCAGGUCAUAAUUAGCAUGAUCUAACUGUCCCUCACACAACUGCAAACAUAAACUUAGAGCUAGUGGCAAAUGUCCCUUAAGGGACAUUCUUUUAGUAUCUCAACUUAAAUAUGAUAACCAGUGAUAAUCUCUUGAUUGAUGUUAUAUGAUAAAAGUGGAAGAAAGAACAAGUAUCUGUACAAACACAUUCUUAAUAAAAUUUUAUGGAAGCAUC